UACUGCGCUUUGUUUAAUAACUUUUUCGUGUUGAGCACGCAUUCUGUCAGAAUCAACAAAUACAACAAUAUCGUUGUUGAUCUAAUGUGUAAUGUAGCAAAAUGUUUCUACCUCAAGUCAAAUGUAUCUUAAGGAAACGACUAUCCACUUAUUUUCUAAGUCAUCAUAGAAGUCAACUUUGUAAUACAUGCUUCAAAAGGAUCCAGGGGUAUACAAGUACAUUUUACUGUUCGAACUAUGGCCAUGAGAAAUCACAUAAUAAAAACGACAAUGUGGGAUUCGAUUACUUCAAAAAG